rnacentral:rRNA from 1 species
AUUGAACGCUGGCGGCAGGCCUAACACAUGCAAGUCGAACGAGUGGCGGACGGGUGAGUAAUGUCUGGGAAACUGCCCGAUGGAGGGGGAUAACUACUGGAAACGGUAGCUACUACCGCAUACCCUCGGAUGUGCCCAGAUGGGAUUAGCUAGUAGGUGGGGUAACGGCUCACCAAGGCGACGAUGCCUAGCUUGUCUGUGAGGAUGACCAGCCACACUGGAACGGAGACACGGGACAGACUCCUACGUGAGGGGGCAGUGGGGAAGAUUGCACAAUGGGCGCAGGCCUGAUGCAGCCAUGCCGCGUGUAUGAAGAAGGCCUUCGGGUUGGAAAGUACUUUCAGCGAGGAGGCGUUACUCGCAGAAGAAGCACCUGCUAACGCCGUGCCAGCAGCCGCGGUAAUUC